UACGAGGGGGGCAAGCGUUGUUCGGAAUUAUUGGGCGUAAAGGGCGCGUAGGCGGUGUCGCAAGUCCGUGGUGAAAUCUCUAGGCUCAACUUAGAGACUGCCGCGGAAACUGCGGUGCUUGAGUGUGGGAGAGGUGCGUGGAAUUCCCGGUGUAGCGGUGAAAUGCGUAGAUAUCUGGAGGAACACCGGUGGCGAAGGCGGCAUCCUGGACCGGUAUUGACGCUGAGGCGCGAAAGCUAGGGGAGCAAACGGG
rnacentral:rRNA from 1 species